AAAAAUAAGAUCACUUUCAUGUGCAUAUUCGAAACUUUUACUUAUCGAAUAUUGUUCUUUGAUCGUGUACUAAAAGACGAAGGCAUUAAUAAAAAUUUCAUGGUAAAAGGACAUUACUCGAAGCUACUCCAUGAAAGUCCCGCUUUUGAAGAAGAGACUUUAGAAGAACUAUCUUUGGGAAAGAAUGACUACAGGAUCAUCUAUCCACCUUAACUGCUCGGGUGUGUUCUUU
rnacentral:lncRNA from 1 species